UCCAGGAACCUAUCUCUCCUCAUCUGAGGG
rnacentral:sRNA from 1 species